UCUGGUGCCAGCAGCCGCGGUAAUACGGAGGAUGCAAGCGUUAUCCGGAAUUAUUGGGCGUAAAGCGUCCGNAGGUGGNCUUNCAAGUCNGNUGUUAAAGCCCACAGCUCAACUGUGGAUCGGCNAUUGAAACUGUAAARCUUGAGUGUGGUAGGGGUAGAGGGAAUUCCNAGUGUAGCGGUGAAAUGCGUAGAUAUUAGGAAGNACACCAGUGGCGAAGGCGCUCUACUGGNCCAUAACUGACACUGAUGGACGAAAGCUAGGGGAGCGAAAGGGAUUAGAUACCCCUGUAGUCCUAGCUGUAAACGAUGGACACUAGGUGUUGNNCGUAUCGACCCGNUCAGUAUCGAAGCNAACGCGUUAAGUGUCCCGCCUGGGGAGUACGCACGCAAGUGUGAAACUCAAAGGAAUUGACGGGGGCCCGCACAAGCGGUGGAGUAUGUGGUUUAAUUCGAUGCAACGCGAAGAACCUUACCAGGNMUUGACAUCCUACGAAUUUCCAUGAAAGNGGAUAGUGCCUUCGGGAGCGNAAANACAGGUGGUGCAUGGCCCNUUCUU
rnacentral:rRNA from 1 species